GGAUGCGAUCAUACCAUCACUAAAGCACCGGAUCCCAUCAGAACUCCGAAGUUAAGCGUGCUUUGGCGAGAGUAGUACUAGGAUGGGUGACCUCCUGGGAAGUCCUCGUGUUGCAUUUC
rnacentral:rRNA from 1 species